GGCCUAAUUGGCGUAUAUUUGAUGGAAAAUGUGCAAGAAAUGGAGCCCUUCUCCCCGUACCUCUUCUGAUCUCUUUAGCAUUGCUCCCAUUUAAAUUAUAUAUCUGUUUGAAUUUGACUGGCGAGCGAAGGGAGUUUCGGAAAGAGCCACAUCAGCUUUAAAUCUACUGACCGGUUACCUGAGCUCUUCCGAGUGAAUAUUUUAUAUCCCUCUUUUCGGAUAAAUCGAAGAGGAAAAGCAGAGGGAGGACCCAACUGACUGAUUGCAGUUGCCAGAAGCUUACAUGGGACAUAAUUACCCGGAAAGUCGGAUUGAAGUUGGGCAUAUAAGAGACUCAAAAGCGGGCCAUUAUGUGUAAGCUGAUAGCUUUGUGCUGCUGCACUGCUACAAGAAACUUAAACUUUAAGUUUUUGCCUUAACUUGA